rnacentral:piRNA from 1 species
UAGAAACUGCCUCGGUGCAGAUGCCAUGGUU